rnacentral:rRNA from 1 species
CCUACGGGAGGCUGCAGUGGGGAAUAUUGCACAAUGGGGGAAACCCUGAUGCAGCGACGCCGCGUGAGUGAAGAAGUAUUUCGGUACGUAAAGCUCUAUCAGCAGGGAAGAAAAUGACGGUACCUGACUAAGAAGCCCCGGAUAACUACGUGCCAGCAGCCGCGGUAAUACGUAGGGGGCAAGCGUUAUCCGGAUUUACUGGGUGUAAAGGGAGCGUAGACGGCAGCGCAAGUCUGGAGUGAAAUCCCAUGGCUUAACCAUGGAACUGCUUUGGAAACUGUGCAGCUAGAGUGCAGGAGAGGUAAGCGGAAUUCCUAGUGUAGCGGUGAAAUGCGUAGAUAUUAGGAGGAACACCAGUGGCGAAGGCGGCUUACUGGACUGUAACUGACGUUGAGGCUCGAAAGCGUGGGGAGCAAACAGGAUUAGAUACCCCAGUAGUC